CAUACCACUUUUAUCAAUCACUCCAUCGAUGUAUUCAGUUAAUUUUUAGCCCGCUAGUGCUGCUCUUCAGUUUCACGAUUUGCUGCAGGCAAAUUUAUUUUUAUUUCUGAAAAUUGACAUGGAUGAAUGAACUGGUAUUUAAACAGUAUGAAACUAUUAUCAGCAGUAGCCAAUAUUUCACAUUUCGGAGGACAUUGCCUUUUUAAAAAGAUUAUGAAAGAUAAACAUUUGAUGAAAAUUUCCUCUCUAUAUUGUCACUUGAAGAUUUGUUGAAUAGGAGUUCCAACGAGUAAGAAGAAACUAAGUUAGCAUGGUAUGAAGCUAUAAUUUCAAAAAGAGCAUGUAAAAAA